GCCGAACGCUGGCGGCGUGCUUAACACAUGCAAGUCGAACGGAGUGGCGAACGGGUGAGUAACACGUGGGUGACCUGCCCUGCCCUUCGGGAUAAGCCUGGGAAACUGGGUCUAAUACCGGUUAGUGUGGGAUGGUCCCGCGGCCUAUCAGCUUGUUGGUGGGGUCAUGGCCUACGAAGGCGGCGACGGGUAGCCGGCCUGAGAGGGUGGACGGCCCAAUGGGGACUGAGACACGGCCCAGACGCGUACGGGAUGCAGCAGGGGGGAAUAUUGCACAAUGGGCGGAAGCCUGAUUCAGCGACGCUGCGUGGGUGAGGACGGCCUUCGGGUUGUAAACUCCUUUCACCAUCGACGCGGUAGAUGGAGAAGAAGCACCGGCUAACUACGUGCCAGCCGCCGCGGUAAGUC
rnacentral:rRNA from 1 species